rnacentral:lncRNA from 1 species
GAUAUUCUCUUUAUAAAUAGAGCUAUGAAGAGAUUUAAAGGAUGUUAGGCUGCUUUGAAGGUGUAAGACCCCUUCCUUUCCUACCCAUCCUCCUCACUCCCUAGCUGGUCCCAGUGGCUCUCUCUCUCGGCAGAUUUGGUCUGUGUGUCCAUGUACUGGAGAGUCAGUGGGCGCUCAUUUCUCAGAGUUAUGAUGUCCUUGGCCUGGCCUGCUUUUACUCUGCUUGCUUAGAUCUGCUGCUCUAUGGAAAAGGAUUGCUGUGUCGGCCCUUUAGUGAGUGUCUGCGUUUCGUUCAAGUCUACGAGCACAGCCGUGUUCUAACCUCUCAGAGCAAUGUCAUGCUGGGGGUCCACUCCUCCCUGGCCAUGUGGUAAUGUCUUACUCAAGGGCUGUGGAAAAGGAUAGACAUUUAUGUCAUUUAAGCUGUCUCUCCCCACCAGACAGGACUUUUGAACCUCUCUAACCAACUUUUAAAGACCAUUCACCUCCCAUACCCUCCCAUCUUAUUAGAAGGGCUCUUGUCCUUUAACAGGUUUUGGCCUAUAGGUCAAGGGUUACGUUUAGGGUUACA